rnacentral:tRNA from 1 species
UCUCCGUUAGUAUAUCGGUUAGUACACGCGCCUGUCAUGCACUACCGUGCGCGCGAAAGCUGGGUUCGACUCCCAGACGGAGAG